rnacentral:rRNA from 1 species
AUACCCUAUUAUUUUUAAUGUAAAAUGAUAAACCUGAGUAUUAGUAGUUAUGAUCUUUAAACUUAAAGAAUUUGGCGGUAUUAUAGUCUAUUUAGAGGAAUCUGUUAUGUAAUCGAUAAUCCGCGUUGAAUCUUACUUGUUUUAUUUCUUGUAUACCGCUGUUUAAGAAAAUAUUUUUAGAUAGAUUUUCUGGAUAAAUUAUUAAUUAGUAUUUCAAGUCAAGGUGCAGUAAUAUGUAAGUUGAAUAAUGGAUUACAAUAAGUUGUAUUUAAACGGAUAAUUAAUGUAAUAUUAAUUUGAAGGUGGAUUUAAUUGUAAAUUUAUAAAGAUUAAUAAAUUGAUUUAUAGCUCUAUAAUAUGCACACAUCGCCC